UGGGGAAUUUUGGACAAUGGGGGAAACCCUGAUCCAGCCAUCCCGCGUGUGCGAUGAAGGCCUUCGGGUUGUAAAGCACUUUUGGCAGGAAAGAAACGCCAUGGGUUAAUACCCUGUGAAACUGACGGUACCUGCAGAAUAAGCACCGGCUAACUACGUGCCAGCAGCCGCGGUAAUACGUAGGGUGCAAGCGUUAUUCGGAAUUACUGGGCGUAAAGCGUGCGCAGGCGGUUCGGAAAGAAAGAUGUGAAAUCCCAGGGCUCAACUUUGGAACUGCAUUUUUAACUACCGGGCUAGAGUGUGUCAGAGGGAGGUGGAAUUCCGCGUGUAGCAGUGAAAUGCGUAGAAAUGCGGAGGAACACCGAUGGCGAAGGCAGCGUCCUGAGAUAACACUGACGCUCAUGCACGAAAGCGUGGGGAGCAAACAGG
rnacentral:rRNA from 1 species